GCCUCUGAAUAGGUCAGUUUUUAUUGUGGGGAGGAGGGGUCCGAGGGAUUUGUCAGUUUGGUCAUUAGGAAAGCCUGAAGAAUAUGAUUUCUUUAUUUGCUUUUUUGGGAGUAUAAAUCCUUGCCACUUCUUAAUUUUUUGUGAAACAUGACUUGGAAAUAUUUUUGGCACUGAUUCGGGCAGGGCGUUUAGUGGGCAAAGUGUUGAGGUUUUCAAGCUGUUGAAUCAUUCUUUAGACAGGUGGAACCAGUGCCGAGAAUAUAACGACGGCUCGUGUGUCCGUGUCUCCCACGAUUGAGUCCGGGCUAGUCUGAUCCGAGGAUUUCUCUCACUGCCCUCCUUAUCACACCGAGCACUUUAGAAAACUACGAGGGAUCGAGACUAUAAAUUAAUCUCGUAGCUAUUUGGCUUAAUCUUAAAAGCUUGGGGGGCUGGUUGGAAUAAUCUGUAGAAAAGGAUGACUGGUUUGUAUUAUUUUUCCAUUAUCUCUCAACGCGGUUUAUGUCUAUUUGUUUCCUAACUAGAUUGAGGAUUCUUCGAAACGUUAUGUGAUCGUGAUGGAAGAAUUCUCAGUGAGACUCUUAUUAUUGAGAAUUUAAUGCUCGAGCAUGCUUUAUGAAA